rnacentral:rRNA from 1 species
UACGAAGGGGGGCUAGCGUUGCUCGGAAUCACUGGGCGUAAAGCGCACGUAGGCGGCUUUCUAAGUCAGGGGGUGAAAUCCUGGAGCUCAACUCCAGAACUGCCUUUGAUACUGGAGAGCUUGAGUCCGGAAGAGGUGAGUGGAACUCCGAGUGUAGAGGUGAAAUUCGUAGAUAUUCGGAAGAACACCAGUGGCGAAGGCGGCUCACUGGUCCGGUACUGACGCUGAUGUGCGAAAGCGUGGGGAGCAAACAGG